UUUUCUUUUUGGCUUGACAAUCGUAGUUGAUUCUGGCUCACAAAGACAUGACCAUGGUUGGCGUCUCCUUCUCAUCAUGAUAACGGGUCGCUGAGAUCAAGUCGUUGCCAAGAUCAUCACGUGGCUUCAUGGUGUAAUGUGCGAAGAAAGCUUGUCUCCUUCUUCUCAUGUGACCAUAAAAAUAAUAUGGUCAAAGCGUGGAACAUGUGUGUAUCUCGUAAUGUUUGAUAUGUGUAUAAAAGCUAGACAAAUAACUUUCUAAACAAGUUACAAGACAUGGUGGAAUCAUAAGAGGCCGAUGAUGAUUAUUCAAUGUGAUAAUCAUAAGUUUUGAAACUUAUCUUUCUUUGUCGGCAACUUUGAUGAAGAUGUAGUGUCUUCUUGUGUUAAUCUUGGUGUAGAAGUUGAAGACGCUCUGUUUUUAGGAGUUGUAACAGAGCCGGGGAAGAGAUGGAGAGCCUGCUGAGAGCAAAGACACCACUUUUAGUCUCUAUCUCCACAUAUGACACAUUCAAUGUUCUUGUUGUCACUGAUCGAGUCAUUGCCAUUACUUCCAGGGUCAGGGUCACGAGUCUGAGCUGAUUAUAUAAUUGAUCUUAGGUUGAAGCGGUGGUGCGACUAGUUGAAGCUGACAUACGAGCUACGACGAAGAGAAUCGCAUCCCCAUCAUUCUGGAGCUUGAACAGAGCUUGAAGCUGCCG
rnacentral:lncRNA from 1 species